AGUUUUCACUAUGAGGAUAAAGAAGCUCCCUCUUCUGAAAUUUUAAGUUGAGGAAGUCCGCUGGCUGAAUCGAACCAUAAACCUUAUUGCCACUACUGAGUGA